rnacentral:rRNA from 1 species
UACGUAGGGUGCAAGCGUUUGUCCGGAAUUAUUGGGCGUAAAGAGCUCGUAGGCGGUUUGUUGCGUCGGCUGUGAAAUCCCGAGGCUCAACCUCGGGUCUGCAGUCGAUACGAGCAAACUAGAGUGUUGCAGGGGAGACUGGAAUUCCUGGUGUAGCGGUGAAAUGCGCAGAUAUCAGGAGGAACACCGGUGGCGAAGGCGGGUCUCUGGGCAACAACUGACGCUGGAGGAGCGAAAGGCGUGGGGAGCGAACAGGA